rnacentral:rRNA from 1 species
UUUAACUGAAGAGUUUGAUCAUGGCUCAGAUUGAACGCUGGCGGCAGGCUUAACACAUGCAAGUCGAGCGGGGGAAGGUAGCUUGCUACUGGACCUAGCGGCGGACGGGUGAGUAAUGCU